GCCUGUGGGAUGGCUCGGUCAGUAGAGCAUGAGACUCUUAAUCUCAUGGUCAUGGGGUUCAAGUUCCACGUUGGGCA